CCAGCAUCGUGUGCUUGGCCAUUCAGCCCGGAUUAGCACUACGAGAACAAGCUCCCUUAAUGAAACACCUGCUGAUUACAUGAGUAUUUAGCUUUAUACCAAACUGUCAGAGGAAAAAUAAGUGUGAAGCUAAGCCCCAGGUCUGCCGUUUUGUUUCUGGGUUUUUCGGUCCUGCUGAAGACACACCAACGUGCUUGAUGUGCUGAAAGAAGGCACAGCAUGGGAUCUGCUGCUCUGGGUCUCUGUGCCUUACAAAGCAUGUGCACUGUGUCUGCCUGCCCCUGCAUCCAGAUGCUGUGCUGUAGGAACUCUGCUGCUGAUGAAUUUGAGAGACAGAAAUCACCAGCUUCAGAGAUAUCCAUCUUCCUUAAAAGCAAGCAAGCCAUUAUGAGUCAGGCAGAUUAUCUGCCAGCAGCCCACUGAAGAGAGCUGUCUUCUUCAGAAGGGAGGAUUCCUGAUGAGUGCAGCAAGGGCAAGGGGACAGGCUGGCAAUGGAAGGGGAGAACACAGCUGCUGCAGUCUCCAUGCCAGGGUGCCAGGGCUGUGCAUGGAGCACAUGGGAGAAAAAGUUAGUGGCCUCUUUGCCUAGGGGACUGUGAUGUAUUCAAAGCUGUGGAUUUGGCUCUGGGAGAAGCUGAGUUUGAUGAUGGUACCAAGGUGCCCAGCAGAGCUGACCACUGUGAUGUGGGUUGGGGUGGAUUCCUCUAUGCUGGGGUGCAGUUACUUGUAGGUACAGAGUACAAUAAGACUCUCCCUGCCUGCAGGAAAGCUGAAAUUGGUGUGGCCUCUGUUAUUUUCUCAGUCGACUUUGAAACAGAAGAUUUGUCUUGAGGAGGCUCAAGAUACAUGAAAACAGUCACACCAGCUGCAGAGGCAGCUCCCUUCUGACUUGACAUGAUCAGAGAAGUAGUAUCCUGCCAUCAAGGAGCUGCAGCUUCAUCCUCAGGAACGCUGACAUUAGCCUACCCCAGCUAGAGCUGUGACUCAAGGCCAGGGCCAAAUGAGAGGGGCAGAGACCAGCUGCAGACAGGGACCUGGCAGAGGAGCAUGGCAGCUCAUCCUUUUUCAGGUGAACAAGGACAUUUUUUGGUGGGUGAUGCACGAGAGGAGCUGUGGCACAGGGGCAGAGCUGUUGAGGUUGGAGGAGGGUUGGGAGGAAGGGCUGCUAUUGAAUUGCCAGUCCUGGUUCUAUCUGCAAAUAGGAGGUCGAGCUGUCACUGGUGUGCAAAGUAGCAGAUGGCCUAAUUGUGAGAUUUCUCCUUUGCAAGAGCAAAAUGCUAUGCUGUUUUUAACAUCUUUGCCUAGAGCUAGCUUCAGAUACAACCAAGAUAUAUUGUGCUAGAAAUGUGCUCUAGUGAUAAUCAGGAGAAAACUCUGCUUGAAGUGAGAUUUAAAAAAUAGUUAUUAUGGCCUAUUGCUGUUAGUCCCACAUCCCAAAAGCUGAUCUGACUAAAAGAGCUUUCCAAAGCAUCUUCUGCUCGACAGAUCAUCUGGAAAUUAUUCCAUCAUUGUGCCACCAUGUCUCGUCUUAUAACCCCAGGACAGUCUCUAUGUAUGCACACCAUUUCUUCCCUCUUCCUGGCAGAAAAGAAUUCUCUCCAGCUUCCCAUUUUUCUCAUGCAGCUUCAGCAGGUUGUGUGCAGCUCCUUGUCUUGGACAUUUUGCUGGAGAUCACAAGGCCUCCAUGAAGCAUGGCCACCUCAUCCCUCCUUGGGUGCCUGUAAGAGCUCCAGGCCUGCAGGCAGAGACAGCAGAGCUCACCAGUGUCACACCAACACCAGGUGCUUGAAACUUUAUAUUGAAGGUGCAGGGUUGUUACUGCUGAGUGUUAUGGCAGGUGCAUUUUGUCAGCUUCAGCUCUGAUCUGAAAUCAGGGGAGAGAGCAGCACCUUUCCCAGCUGGCUCAGGCUUGCAGAGAAAACUCUGGUAAGGAUACGUGUGGAGAGAAAACUUUGACUAACCUGUAAAUCUGCUUAAUAUCACUAUUCAGUGAGGGCAAAACCUAGGGCAAGGAUCAGUUUGGAACGGAAUCAAGUGAAUGCUCUGUUUGAGGACAGAAGCCCUUGUUGAUUUUUUUGCAGGCCACUCACCAUAUUUUAAAGGACUUUUGCCUGUGUAUAGCAUGUGCUGCCUCUUUCUGACAGACCUUUAAACUUGGUAGUGUCUGUUGGGGUUUUCUGGCAAUAAAAGGGCUUUAAUGGGUUAUCUGUAAGCUUUGUCUUUUAAGUAUGGGGGUGUAUUAAAUCUUCUUUAAAUCUACCUUUCUCUUACUGUCCAUCUUCAAAAGACUCUUAUCCUUGCAAAAGAUGUCUGUGCUGCAACAGUCUGUCCUUCCCAUUCCUUCCUCUGACUUUCUUCCCCUGUUUUCUCAGAAGUCUCCUGCUAAAAAUCCCCCAGCUGUGAGACACCAGCCCAUCUCUCAGAUUCCACUGAUUUCAUGUCUCUCUCAGCCUCCAUGUAAAUCUCCUUAUCUCUCCCUUAAGGUCCUCUUUAAGUUACUUUGCCUUUAAUCUCAUUCCUCCCACUCCUCCUCCUAUUCUCCCAGUCAUCUCUCUUUCUGCUCAUUUUAUCUUGUUCUUGGAUGCUUCAAUCUUGCUUUUUUUCUUCAUAGUCCUCAGACACCUCGAUCCAUCUCCCAUUUUCUGUUAACCAAACACUUUCUUCUUCUUCUGUCAACUCUACCUUAAAUCCCUUUUUCUUCCUUGCUAGCACUAACACACCACAUGCCCUCAUGCAGAGUCAUCUGAGCUGCUGUCCCACGUGGUUUUCCUGGAGUGCAUGUUCUUCACACCAGGAAUUUGUGGUUCUCCUACAGUGCACACCCCACAGAUACAAACACACAAGGGUCUUUUGAAGAACAGCAGUUGCUGGUUUUGAUCACAGCAGAUAACCAUGAACUGGCUACUCCCUGCCUUCAGCAGCACUCCUUAUGGACAAGUAAUAAGCUCUGCAGCAUAGGAUUUCUUUUAUGUAAUGGAAGAUAAUGAGAGGCACACCAAGAAGCAGGUUUAUUGUACCCUAUGCAAAAGUAUCAACCCAAAGGCGGAUUGUCAGCUCCUUAACCUGGUCUUCUCUGUGUCACUGAGUUGAUGUAAUGAGGCUUUAGUACGGUCCUACCCAGCCAGUGGUGGAUUUCCUUCGAGGCAGAGGAUGUCCCCAGAGGUGGGGGAGUUGGUGACUCUUGAUGGCUUCCUCUUACAGCUUGUCAAAGGACAGAAAAAGAAGCCGUUGCAGAAUCUGAAAAUAUUGGAAUACAUUCUGCAAUUUCCUGGACUUUAUGCUGCCUCUCGUAAGUGUUACGGUAUUAUUUCCAGUCCCUGAAAACAGAACCGUACUAAAGCUGAUGACUAUGGGAUUUCUGUUAUCUUGGAGUAAAUACAGGGUGUAUGCUUUCCCUCCUAUUAAGGUAUUUUAGAAAAUGAAACACAGAAAAAGCAAGAUCUGGCUCAGAGUUAGUGUGAGGGCCAUCUAUUCUUGUACUUCAAGAACACGGUUUCGAAAUGGGAUCUCUUACUGCCUCUGCCCAGGCAGCAUUCUCAUCUUCCAGAACGAUACACUGGUGAGAUGAAGAUCUAGAGCUACGUUUUUCUCAUAGGAGCAUAGAAAAUACUGCAGGUUUAUGGACAAUGUUCCAUCAGAAAUCCUCAUAAAAUUGAAGCAGUUGUUUGCCUCUUUAAAACUUAAAAAAGAAAGGAAAAUAUUGUGAGUCCCAUUGGCUUUUUACUCUUAAUCCUAGUCUAGAGCCUAUGAUUAGAUAUUGUGCCUUCCUCCAGCCUCCCAGUUUUAUGUGAGUGCACCUAUCUGCCUUUUUGGACUCUCCUGUCUUGUUUUGUGUUAAUGAGUGGUCACAAUAUAGUUCAAGAGUCAGUUUUAGGUCACCUGAAUCAGCUUUACAACAUCUAGCCUCAAGGAGGAGAGCGCUGUAAUCUCAACAACAGAGCUCUGUAUCCGCUGGCUGCAAACCUGCCUGGCUUCUCCCGUGGGCCUGGUGCUCUGUGGAAGGCACCACACUCCUAGAGCUGCCUUGGUAUUCCUGUCUGAAUGACCUAAAAGCUGGUUGGGAUAUGCCUGGGUCACCUUCAGCAUUGACACAGCCAUAGGUAUAUCCUGAAAGCAGAUAAUGCAGUCCCUUCUGCCAGGUACUGCUCUUGUCUAUGCACUUCCACAGAAAGUGAAGUGUGGAGGAAUCACCUGUCCAUACUCCCUAGGGGAAGAAAUGCUGUCCUCAUGAUUUUGGGCACUGUGCAGUCCAGGUGUGAGUGCUCUAGGGACCAGGCACAAAGGACAGGACAAGGCUUUCAACAGGCAAGGAGAAAGUGCAGCUAUUCCCACACCCGUGUUUGUAUUAGAGGAGGUGUCUUCCAUCCAACACAGUCAAUAAGCUUCUGGUUUUUUCUAACUGCCUCCCAGUUCUCAUUCUGGGUUUGUUUCUUCAGUAGAUGCUCUCAGGACACCAGAAGCCAAGAUGUCUCAUCUAGCACCUUAAAAUUUUGUAGACAACUAAGCUUUUCUUUGCUGAGGACUGAAUGGGCCUUCCAAAUACAUCUGGGUGGAUAAAUAUUGAUUUCCUGGGCCUUCCAAAUACAUCUGGGUGGAUAAAUAUUGAUUUCCACCUUAGUUUUACGCCCAUAAAGCUGGAAUUGAGGAAAAAGGCCUUUCUCAAGGGGGGCAGGUUCUGUGUUACAGAAAAAGCUGAAAAAAACCAGACCCAUUAUGGGAAAACAGCCAUGAGCAAUUUUCCUUCUGUAUGCAGCAGUUAAAUGCUAAGUGUUAGUACUUAUGAUAAGUAGAGAACUUUUUUCUUCUUAUCUCAGAAAUUCACUUAUAAAAUUUGCAGUUAAUUUCUAAUUAGGUUGUUCAAACUAUUACAAUAAUCUUGAGGAAGCAGCUAUAGCAUUUUUGCAUCAUGGCACAGCAUUCUGUAUACAUCAGUCCAAAUGAUCCACUAAAGUAUUAUUAAAACGAUAGAACAAAUUGCAUUUACACAAUAUUAAAUAUACCAGAAAGAGUAACUGUGGAAAUUGCUGGCAUAUACAGCUCAUCUAACCUUGGAACUCAAAUUGCUUUUUUAAUUUGCUGCCCUCAUCCUUAAACUGGACUUCUGUAAAACUGUACUUCUAUGUUGAAGGGGAAGAAGAAAAGCACAAAUCACAAAUAUUGACAAAUCUAUUAAAUCACAUAGCAGAGAGAGAAAUUAUCAUGUUAAAAAGACCAGGCUGGUAGAACUAUACCUGACCACUGCAACAGAGAAAUUACUGUCAUUUCCCAUUAUUGCUCUGUCAGAGGUGCCAGAGUUGCAGCCCGCAGCUGGGACCGGUCAUUUGAUGUAUUUCCCUGCCUCUUGUGGCACAUGCAGGCUGCAGAGUGCCAGCUAGGCUGCUGAAAAGCAAUUCUGCCUCUCUGGCUACCCCAGUGUACCUGAGGAUCUGCUGCUUUACCUACCUGAGGUUGCCAACAACCUGUUUAUACAAGGGGCAAAUUCCCCCUUCUCCCAUUUAUUUUGCCGGGGUGUUUGCUUUAAUGCUUAGUAAUGCCACUGGAAGUGUUGGUGUAAUUUCACGGGUAGUGUAAUUGCAAGUUAACUUCGUGGCUGAUCUCUCCAACAGAUGGAAGCAGGGUGGGGGUGGUGAUGAAACCCACAGGAAAUGGGUGCUGCUGUAGGAAAAUGCAGAUGGAAAAAAGGAGACACAUAAGAACAGAGAAAUGGAAGAGAGAGAGAGAGAUCAAGGAACCAGGGGGCCUAAGAAACACACAGCAGAGGGAGGAUGCUCUGAAUAACCACUUCUUUAGAGAAAAUGAAAUGUAAUUUAAAAGGGUAUGAAGAAUUUAAUGUAAAUUACAGAUAGCAAAUCCUUUAAGGGACAUACACAAAAACCUACAGUGUGGUGGUCAGGUUACCCAGGUUACCUGGGAUCCUUGCAUUCAAGCCCCUGCUCCUCAGCAAACCCUCAGGCCAUCAUUAAUGAGCCUACAGCUUACUCAUGCUGUGGCACUCACGUUUCCUAGAGCCUCCACGCUCAUGAUGGCCAGUGCCAAACUCCAGGAACAGGACUCAGUCAGAAUUUGCUGUCUCAAUACAGCACAUAUUUCUCAUCAAAUCCCUCAGGAGCAGUUUCACAGAAAUGCAGCUUUACAACAUCUCAAUAGAUUCCUUGAGCCUGGGCACCUGAGCAACCUAGGUGUCACAAUGUUUUACCUCUCUGAGGUAAUGUGAGGAUAAAAGACAGAUGUCAAAAGAGAGGUCUUGGCACAUGAGGCCCAGCACCACGCACCCGUGGGCAUUCUGUUGGACCCAAGCUAAGGUCUCUACAGGAGAUGGUUUUGCUCCACAAGAUGCACCAGUGCUCUGCUCUGCUCCAGAUUUGAGGGUGUGACAGGAAUGCACCCUGAGAGCUGCUAUGCCACUUUCAUCCCAAAUCUAGAGCAGGUAUGAAUUUUUUGGUCAAGAACUUUUCUGCACAGAUUCACGCCUCUAGAAAUGUAAAGAAGUUGGGAAUGUCAGAGCAAUCCUUAAAAUUGAACCAAAGGGGGCAUCAGGGAGGAGGAAAAUUCGACUGAAGCUCAGCUGUCUGCAUCCAGCAUAGCCUGACCACAGGCAGGGAUUUGCUCCUGCUUCCCAUGGCAGUGGUUGGAGGAGGCGUGGGUAACAAUAACCUUGGCAACCAUUGCCUGCUCUGGGAAGUAUUUUAUUCAUCUAGGUACACAUUACACAUUGAAAAAAUGUUAUCAGAGUUUGAAAAGACAAUAGUUCAGAUGUGCUUGAUUUGUGGACUAUAAAUACAGGAGAGGGAAAAGGAGGCCUAACAAACCAGUGCAUCACAAAACAGUAACUGCAGAUAGAUUUCAAGGCUGAAGGGUAGCUUUUGUGGUGGUGCCUUAUGUAUUGCCUAUGACCACAAAGUGAGGAAGUGAGGAUGAGAGGCACUGUACUUAAUGAAGGGUCCUUUAUUAUUUUAAGAAACUAGGCCUUCUUCUGUUUCCCCCGCCCCACACUUUGUUUCUGAAUUCGGUGGAUACAAGAUCCCGAAAAGAAAGCAGUCCUGAGAAUUUGACUUAAUGUUCAGGGGGAAAAACUCACAGAAUUUCUGUUUUAUGCGUUCAUUCAUGCCAGUCUCAUCCCAAGCACAUCCUAUUUCUGUGGCCUAUAAACCAAAGACAGCAAAGAACUGAGAUGAGUAAAACCUCUUUAGUGUGCAAAGUGAGAGCCAUUGCUCUAGUUUGUGUACAGAUAGGUACAAAAAAUCUAUUUGUUUACAUACCGUGUAAAUAUCAACUAAAUAAUUCUUUCAAUAAAUGUGGAAGUAGGUCAUUUCUUAUUGAAA